CGCGUAGGCGGCCCAUUAAGUCAGAUGUGAAAUCCCGGGGCUUAACCCCGGAAGUGCAUUUGAAACUAUUGGGCUUGAGUAUGGGAGAGGGAAGUGGAAUUCCUGGUGUAGAGGUGAAAUUCGUAGAUAUCAGGAGGAACAUCGGUGGCGAAGGCGACUUCCUGGACCAAUACUGACGCUGAGGCGCGAAGGCGUGGGGAGCAAACA
rnacentral:rRNA from 1 species